rnacentral:rRNA from 1 species
GAGUUUGAUCCUGGCUCAGAACUAACGCUGGCGGCGUGCCUAACACAUGCAAGUCGUACGAGAAAGUCCGCUUCGGUGGAUGAGUAAAGUGGCGCACGGGUGAGUAACACGUGGAUAAUCUGCCCCCCAGUUGGGAAUAACACACCGAAAGGUAUGCUAAUACCCAAUAAUGCUUCUUCGACUCCGGUCGAGAAGCCAAAGAGGGCCUCUUCUUGAAAGCUUUUGCUGGAGGAUGAGUCCGCGUACCAUUAGCUAGUUGGUAGGGUAACGGCCUACCAAGGCUGCGAUGGUUAGCUGGUCUGAGAGGAUGAUCAGCCACACUGGAACUGAGAUACGGUCCAGACUCCUACGGGAGGCAGCAGUGAGGAAUCUUGCGCAAUGGGGGAAACCCUGACGCAGCAACGCCGCGUGAGUGAGGAAGGCCUUCGGGUCGUAAAGCUCUGUCUGGUGGGAAGAAAUGCAUAACGGCGAAUACCCGUUAUGCUUGACGGUACCACCGAAGGAAGCACCGGCUAACCCCGUGCCAGCAGCCGCGGUAAUACGGGGGGUGCGAGCGUUGUUCGGAAUUAUUGGGCGUAAAGAGCGUGUAGGCGGCUGGGUAAGUCAGAUGUGAAAGCCCUGGGCUUAACCCAGGAAGUGCAUUUGAUACUGCCCGGCUUGAGUAGGGGAGAGGGAAGUGGAAUUCCUGGUGUAGAGGUGAAAUUCGUAGAUAUCAGGAGGAACACCGGUGGCGAAGGCGACUUCCUGGCCCUAUACUGACGCUGAGACGCGAGAGCGUGGGGAGCAAACAGGAUUAGAUACCCUGGUAGUCCACGCCGUAAACGAUGUUCACUAGGUGUUGGGGGUAUUGACCCCCUCAGUGCCGCAGCUAACGCAUUAAGUGAACCGCCUGGGGAGUACGGCCGCAAGGUUAAAACUCAAAGGAAUUGACGGGG